rnacentral:lncRNA from 1 species
AUUUGAUCUAUCAAAGCAUCCAAAUUAAACACAUCUCCUCGAAACACAAUAUUAUUCCGAGUACACCAUAUGCUCAAAGUAGUUGCUAACCAAAUGACAUGACGAGUUUUAACAAGUCUCUUACUCUUCACCAAAUCACCAAAAGACAUGAAUUGCUUCCACCCUUCCUCAAAGGGGAUGAAAUCCACAGCCAACCAUUUAUAAAUUUUAUUCCAAACUUGAAUUGAGACAGAGCAAUUAAAAAAUAAAUGAUCUAUGUCUUCUUCUUCUCUAAAGCAAAACACGCAACAAAACUCGCGUGGAUUAUUGAUAAUUUCUUUUUUUACCAAAGUCAUACGGGUCGGAAGUCGUGCUAAUAACAAUCUCCAUCCAAAUAUAUUCACUUUAGACGGUAGAUCGUUCACCCAUAAAUCUUGCAGCGCAUCCACCACAUUACUAUUAAUAGUAAAAAAUGAAUCACAGUUUUGCAAGAAAAACUAUGUUGAUUUUACCGUAAACAUACCAGCAUGGUUCAUGAGCCAUUUUCGAUGAUCCAAGCAUUCCUUCUUAGGCCUAAUAUCUGCUAGCAAAAUCGACUUCUCAGUUGCAGCAUCCAUAUCAUCCUGCGCUAGCUCCACAACCCAAUCAAAACUCCAAGUCCAAUUAUCAUCACUCCCAGAACCGAACGCAGCUAUAGGAGCAUCAGGUUGCAACGAUUUUGCAUACAAUUGAGGGAAUAAAUUCAUGAAACUCUCAUGAC